UCCAAUUCGAAUAAAGGAAAUGGUCAGACAUGGAAUGAUAACAGAGAAGAUCAGCAUGGCCUUUGUCCAUGGAUGACAUACAAAUUUGUGAAGCAUUUUAUAUUUAU
rnacentral:snRNA from 1 species